rnacentral:lncRNA from 1 species
GGUCCAGCAAAACCAAGACAGUCAUUUAGUACCUGAAUUUAUGAAUACCUUUAACAUGCCUAAACACAUAUAUGGCCAUCCAUAUGCAUAACAGAUUGUCCAAAACAAAGAAGGAUGCGAGCCAUUACGCCUUGUUUGAUCUUCCCAACAGUUAAGCAACGAAUCAUGACAGAACGAAGGAUCCAUGUCUAUUGGUAAUUGAAGCAAAUCGUCAAAGUCAAGCUGCUUCUUCGCACCAUGU